AAGGGAGUGGUGAGAGGAAAGGGGCUCAGAACGACGAAUCGCAGGAGAUGAAAGCAGCUCCUGGUGAAACACGGGAUGAAAGUUGCCAGAAAGGAGAAGUGAGUGUGAUGAAGAGGAGGAGAGGAAAGGGGAAGAACUUCAGGGCGACUUGAAGGACGCGUGAGCCAGAAUCCCACAAAAUAAAAGAGAGGAGAUGGGAAAGAUUUCUUCACUUGAAAGGAAACAGCUCAACGCAGAUGUAUAACGGUAAAGAUGACUGACCUGUCGAAGGAGUGAAACUGCAUCGGUAACAUGGGAUGCGUCUUCAGAGCGGGGUCCGGGUGGUAGGGGGUCGGUCCGGACUCCUGUCCCAGCUCUGCACCGUCGAUGGGAGCCGCCACCAAGCUCUUUAAAAUCUCCUGCAAUCCAGGAAAAAAAGAAAACCAACAAAUGUGGCCCAGACCCAGACCCAGGCCCAUCUCCGAGCCGUUCAGGGAUCCGGCCACGUGGCCUUCCUCCCCGAUGCCUGAGUCUGUGUGGGGGAGGCCACCUCGAGGAGAGUCAUCCACUGGAGUGGGGGUCUGUUUAUCCCGGUCAGAGAAGGGGUGUUCUGAAAGG